AUGUGCAUAUGUUUCUUGUUACAUCCGAAAAAACUCAUAUCUGAAAGGAUAUGCAGAAAAGAUGGAACAAAAUAUUUUGAUCUACAAGCUAUAGCUGUAUGUACUGCUUGCUUCAAAAUCAAGGACAUAAUCUUGUGUGAACUUGUAAUUCACAUUAUGUGGUUCCAUAGCAAGCAAACUUUGUUCCUCCUCUGGAUUGGCAUCUGCUUGAGCCCACGGGUGGUUGUGGUAUCUCCUCAGCAUCUCCAACCUCUCUGCAACCUCCUUCAUCGUUGGCCGCUCCUCUCCACUCAUGUUCAAGCAUCUCAUAACGAGGUGUGUGAUCUCUUCAAGCGCUUCGAUUCUCAUCUCGUCCCUCACUUGGCUGUCCAGAAGGUCUUGGUGCUGGCCUACCUUCACUGCCAUCAUGAAGCAUAA
rnacentral:rRNA from 1 species